UACGUAGGGUCCGAGCGUUGUCCGGAAUUACUGGGCGUAAAGAGCUCGUAGGUGGUUUGUCGCGUUGUUCGUGAAAACUCACAGCUCAACUGUGGGCGUGCGGGCGAUACGGGCAGACUAGAGUACUGCAGGGGAGACUGGAAUUCCUGGUGUAGCGGUGGAAUGCGCAGAUAUCAGGAGGAACACCGGUGGCGAAGGCGGCAUCCUGGACCGGCAUUGACGCUGAGGAGCGGAAAGCCAGGGGAGCAAACGG
rnacentral:rRNA from 1 species